AAUCUCUUCCACCGCACAUAGACUUCACUAUUCUUCAACAUGUCGACCAAAACGACAUCCCUCGAAACGCCCUCCACCCUGCGACAAAAAUGCAUCAGACUGUAAAACUCUCUUCCAUCACUUCGUCUAGUUUUGAGCUCGUUGAGUUUCCUUACUCUGCUUGUUGCUAUCGUUGCCGAUGUAUUCUCAGUGGAUGCGUUAGAAAUUGCAAAGCAGUUCCACCUCAAGUCAUACGUUUGCUUUCCCAUGUCUAUCACUUCCCUCGGUUUCUGCCUCAAGUUUCCCGAACUUGAUGAGGAUCAUGAGCUGGUUUCUACUGGAUUUCGAGACUUAUCACAAUCUUUGAAACUUCCAGGUUGCGUAGUACAUGGCAAAGAUCUAUUCGAUACCAUUCACGAAAGAUCCAGUGAAUCCUACAAAACAAUUCUUUACAUAUGUAAGCGAUUGUAGUUAGCAGAUGGUAUGAUAGUGAAUAGCUUCCUAGAUCUUGAACGAGAGGCAAUAACAUCACUACAAUAAAGUAAUCAUAAAUACCCUCCCAUUUA